AUGAACGCUGACAGAAUGCUUCACCCAUGCCAGUCUUUGGCGAAGCUGUGCUCGCACAGCCUAGCCAAGGCGGACGGGUGAGUAACGCGUAAGGAACUUGCCCUGCAGUCAGGGAUAACAGACGGAAACGACUGAUAAGACCUGGUAAAGUCAGGCGGACUCAUGUCCAGCCUGAUGAAAAGAGAUGCUGCAGGAGAGCCUUGCGUCCUAUUAGCUUGUUGGUGGGGUAACGGCCCACCAAGGCGAUGAUAGGUAGCCGGCCUGAGAGGGUGGACGGCCACAAGGGGACUGAGAUACGGCCCUUACUCCUACGGGAGGCAGCAGUGGGGAAUAUUGGACAAUGGGGGCAACCCUGAUCCAGCAAUUCUGUGUGCACGAUGAAGGUUUUCGGAUUGUAAAGUGCUUUCAGCAGGGAAGAAAAAAAUGACGGUACCUGCAGAAGAAGCGACGGCUAAAUACGUG
rnacentral:rRNA from 1 species